rnacentral:rRNA from 1 species
GACGAACGCUGGCGGCGUGCUUAACACAUGCAAGUCGAACGGAAAGGCCUGCUUUCCCUUGUGGAUUGCGGGUACUCGAGUGGCGAACGGGUGAGUAACACGUGAGUGAUCUGCCCCCAACUUGGGUAUAAGCCUGGGAACUGGGUCUAAUUCCCGAUAGGACUGCAGGGUGGUGCCUGUGGUGGAAAACGAUUUUCUAGUGGUUGGGGAUGAGCUCGCGGCCUAUCAGCUUGUUGGUGGGGUAAUGGCCUACCAAGGCGGCGACGGGUAGCCGGCCUGAGAGGGUGGACGGCCACAUUGGGACUGAGAUACGGCCCAGACUCCUACGGGAGGCAGCAGUGGGGAAUAUUGCACAAUGGGCGGAAGCCUGAUGCAGCGACGCCGCGUGGGGGAUGACGGCCUUCGGGUUGUAAACUCCUUUCGACCGCGAGGAAGCCACCUGGUUGGAAGGGUGGUGACGGUAGUGGUAGAAGAAGCACCGGCUAACUACGUG